GCCAUGCCCUGUGCCUACCCUCCCCACUCUGACCAAGUCUAAGCAGGUGAAAAGGAGGGCUUGGCCUCCAGUGGGAGCUCAGCAAGGCCUCUCAAGGGUCUGGAGGACAAGGGCACCCUUCUCUAGCCCCCUGCCUGGCCCUGGGUGUUUGCAUUCGGACAUGUGCUGUGGCAGAGGCAGCACCGGGGCACUGGAUGCCCCAUUCGGAGUUGUAUCUCUUCUCCUAGAGGAAAGGGAAUCCAGGGACAUGAAUUCUCUCUCAGUGACUCACCUCUGAGCCCUGUCAGGUCUCUCCGGGCCUCGGAUUCCUCUGUGGUGACAUGGAAAUACUAACAGGGCUGCCCCCUCCUUGAGGAGCUGUGGAAUUAGAGAAUGAGCCUGCACAGAAAUGUCCACGGUUCUGGAGAAGGAAAAUCAGGAAAGAUGUGCCUGCCCCGCCUUCCAAGAGCUUCCAGCCUGGGAGGAGAAGCAGCCUGAAGGAGAAUCCAGGGCAAUACGCCCUGUUCCAGGUGCUGCAAUUGAGGUCUACUCAGCCCACCACAGAGCACCGGGGAGCAGCCUCUUGGCCCAAGAGCCUUGCUGCAAGUCUGGUGACAAGCUGGGAGAGCUGACAGCAAAAGGAGCUGAGGCCCAGAGUAGAGAGGCGGCACUGUGAGGAGACGCUUCGUCAUUAGAAUGCAGCACGAUUCCGCAAGCCUUUCUCCAGUGCCCAGGCCACUCUUGCCAAGCGCUGUGUGCAGAGCUGCAGGGAACAGGGCAGGACAAGGUGCCCAGAACCAAGAGUCCCGGGAAGACAAGGAGAUGCUUGUCGGGGUUCUGGGAACCGGCAGAGGCCGCAGGGCCCAGGGCAGGCCCGGGCUACGCAAGGAGCUCCAGUUCCCGGGGAGGGCCCCUGGGAGUCCGAGACCAGCCCCCCAGCCCUCAGCGCCCCCACCCACUGUCCUUUCUGCCUGACUCUCUCUUCCCUGGCUUUAAAGGAGCGAUCAUUAAUUCUUUUCUCUGUCAAUCCACAAAGGCAGAGACACCUCCUACUAAAUGGGGAGGAUGAGGAGGAUGGGAGCAGAGCGAGGAGGAAAUGGAGGUCUCUAUGAUGCACCUCUAAGUUAUUCUUGCUCCUGCCCUCUGGGAGCUCACAGUCUAAUUGGGGAGACAGAUAUAGUUGCCACCACCCAUGAUGCAAUCAGAUAUAGAGGCUAAGUGGCGUUUGUACUUAGUAACAUGAGAGAAGCGCAUUGAGGGAAAUUCACAGUAGCUAACACAUCUAGCAUCAACCUCACCCCAGGUACUGUACUAAGUGGUUGACAUGCAUUCACUCAUUUCCUCCUCAUCACAGCUCUGAGGCAGGUGCUAGUGCUAGCCCUAUUUGACAGAUGAGGAAACUGAGGCACAGAGACGUUGAGUAACUUGCCCAAGGUCACACAGGUGGAACCAAGAUUUGUCCCUAGUGGCCUGACUCCAGAGUCUAUGCCUUUAACCACCAGGCCAGACUAAAGGAGUAAUGGCAUCUCUUUGGUCUUUGCAGUAGCACUGGUGAGUGCUGGAGAGCACAGCACUCUGGGUCGAGCAGACCUGCAGUGGUCAUCAGGUGGCGUUGCACAACUUCCGUGCCCUUUCUAAGCUUCAGUUUCCUCUCCAAUAAAAUGCAGAGAGCAGCAGUAUAGCACCUUCCUCCCAGGGCUGCCAGGAGGAGUAAAUGAGCAGAGAUGUGUGGAGAUCUUAGCCCAGGGCCCGCGCAGAGCAGAUGCACGCAGACAUUGCUCCAUUUACACAGGCCUUUGAGAGCUGCAAGACCCUUCCACGCUCAUUCAGUAGACUUGACAGAGAAGAAGCUGGAGAGAUGAGGGCUUUGGGAAUGGCUUCUGAGGAGGGGCAGUGCUUGUCUCACUAGAAUAGCCAGGUCCCCAGAGAUCUCUCCCUAUUCCCGAAUCCUGGCUUGAUCUCAUUCCCAGACUUCCAAGCCAUCACACAAGGGCAUUGAUCACCUCCCCUUGCAUCAGGGAUAGUGCAAGGCUCAGCAGCCCCCAGCGUUCAGGAACCAAUGGCCUCAAGUCAGCUGACAUUCAGAUGAAGGACCCAGAGAGUGAGGGAGGACAGGCCCUGGAGUUGGGGAGGGGAGGAGCCUCUAUCCCCACCCCAUACUGUUGAGGAGCUACAGAGCCUGCCUGGGACUCACUCCCCACAAGAAAGCCACCCCCACGCCAUCGCCCUCUGCACAGAUUUGCAGAUGGUUCCCUGAUGCGACCUAGGGCCCUCUCUGGCUGGCAUCCACCAGCCUCAGAUGCAACUGGGAGAAAAUAAUGUGUAAAUGAGAGCUGAAACCUGCACUGCAGUGGGCAGGUAAAAGCCAGCUCCCUCUUGGGCUUCAACCCUGGGCUUCUACCCACCUCUGUGACCUUGCAGCUCUGUGACCUUGUGGCUCUGUGACUCUGCAGCUCUGUGACUGCACUGGCUCUUCCUUUAGUGAGCACCCUUGCAUACCCCAUUUUGCCUGCCUGGAAAUAUCAGCUUUCAGCCCCAUCUCUCCCAUGGCACUUUGUCUGAUGAACACUCCACCCACCCUAUGUCACACACAUGCACAUGUACACACAUACACACACACACACACACACACAGAGAUUAACAUGUACUCUCCUGUCCUUAAGCCCAUGUGUGGCAUGUAUACACCUUUAUUGAAAAAGUACCACAUGGUGGUGUUACAUUUUUUUUUCUUUCACCUGUCUCCCAGUUCCAGUUACCUAUUGCUGCAUUUUUAAAAACCACCCAAAACUUCAUGGCUUAAAACAAUGACAUUUAUUUUGUUCACCAACCUGCAAUUUCAACAGGGCAUGAUGGAGACAGCUCCUUUCUCCUCCACUCAGUGCCAGCUGGGGCAGCUGAGAGUCUCGGUGGGAAGCACCCAAAGGCCCCCUGUCAUGUGCAGAGGCUCUCACUAUCUGUUGUUUGGGAUCUUGGCUGGAGCUGGGCCUCCUGGCAGGAAAGCGGGGCAAAUUAAAGGGAAUCUCACCCAUGAGGAACUCAGAAGCUCAUUGGAGGUGCUAAGAAAUGGCAGUUCCUCUUCUCUACCUUUUCCUGAUCUUUCACGGCCUCUGGAACGACAACAGUGCCCAGUCCAGGGCUUUCUCAGAUUCCUGAAGACAGAGCUUGGGAAGAAAGAGAUUGCCUGCUCUCUUAACCCCAGAUGGGAAGGUAGCAGAGAGCCCAGCCUACUCAGCCAUGCUCUCACUGUGGAGGGGACAGUGACUCACCAGUCUUUCUUCCUCAGCCUGGCAAGAAUAUCCCUCAACAUCAUCCAACUCCUGUUAUAUCACUUCCAUAGUUACUAAACCCUCCAGUGAACCCUUACUGCAUCACAGAGGACCCUAAAACCUAGUGGCUUAAAACAACAGCCAUUUUAUUAUCUUUCAUGAUGAUGGGGGUCAGGAAUUAGGGCAGGGCUCAGUUGGGUGAUUCUUCAGCAACACAUGGCAUUGAAUGGGGUCACUUGAUGAUAUUCAUCUAAUAACUGCUCUGGUCUGGAGGAUCCAAGAUGGCCCCACUCCUGUGCCAGGUGCCUUGGCAAGAGAGGCUGGAGGGCUGGCUCAGCAGAGCUUCUCUCCCUUUCCAUGUAGCAUUGUGACCCUUCCACGGGGUCUCUCCAGCAGUGUGGUCCAGUUUCUCACAUGGUGACUUGGAGCUCCAAGGGACCAAGGCAGGAGCCUUUGAAAAGUCUAAGCCUGACACUGGCGUGGCAUCACUUCUGCCAUCCUCCAUUAGUCAAAACACCUGGGGCCCAGCCCAGACUCAGGGAAGGGGUAACUGAUCCCACUUCUCCAUAGAAGAAGCCUCAAAGUUUCUGUGGUCCCUCUUUAAAUGGCCAGAGCCAAGCAAUCUUUGGACCCAGGGCCCAGGUUCUUGGGUAGGUCUGUCUGCCCAUUAGGAAGUUCUGUGCCCAAGGUCAAUCCAUUACUCACUCCAGACUGAACUUAUGGACUGAACUGUUCCCCUCAAAUUCAUAUGUUAAAGUCUCAACACCCAGGACCUCAGAAUGUGACCUUAUUUGGAGAUAGGGCCUUUACAGAGGUAAUCGAGUUAAAAUAAAGCUAUUAGGGUGGGCUUAAUCCAAUCUGACUGUUGUCCUCAUAAGAAGAGGGAACUUAGACACAGAGAGACACGAAGGUGUGUGUGCACAAAGGAAAGAGUGUGUCAGUACACAGUGGGAAGGCAAUCAUCUACAAGCCAAGGAAAGAGGCCUCCGAAGAAACCAACCCUGCAGAGACUUUGAUCUUGGACUUCUAGUCUCCAGAACUGUGAGAAAAUAAAAUUUCUGUUGCUUAAGCCCCCCAGUAAGUGGUAUUUUCUUAUGGCAGCCAAAGUAGACUAAUACAGAGCUCCUGCAGGUAAUUAAAACAUUGGCAUUUUGGACUCUA